ensembl:snoRNA small nucleolar RNA, C/D box 19
GAGGUAUGAUGAAAUGAACAGUCUGAUUGUCACUGAAGACUGAUAAGAUCCAACUCUGACCUCAACAAAGCC